UAAGAGUUUGAUCGUGGCUCAGGGUGAACGCUGGCGAUGUGCCUAAGACAUGCAAGUCGAACGAGAUUUGUGUGUAGCACGAGACGUUUCAAUCCAUUUCUCCAUCAAUUAUUUUUCCUUAAGUAUUUUUAUUUUGAAUCUGAAAAUUGUAAUUUGUUUGGAUUUUUGUAAUUUGGUCUUUGGAAUUUCUCGUGCUAUACACGAGUUUAGUGGCAAACGGGUGAGUAUAAGAUACGAACGUACUCCAAAGCGGAGCAUAGUCCACCGAAAGGUGGGGUAAUUCUCCAUAGUCCCUCCGGGGUAAAGAUGCAAAUCACUUUGGAAGCGGCGUAUCUACUACCAGCUAGUUGGUGAGGUAAUGGCUCACCAAGGCUAUGACGGUUAACGGCUCUUAGCGGAGAGUCCGUCACAAUGGGACUGAGACACGGCCCAUACACCUACGGGUGGCAGCAGUUAGGAAUUUUGCGCAAUGGACGAAAGUCUGACNNUGGGCGUAAAGAGUCUGUAGGUGGUUUUCUAAGUCUUGUUUCAAAGACUCCGGCUCAACCGGAGAAAGGGGCAGGAUACUGGAAGACUAGAGUUGUAUCGGAGUGACUGGAAUUUGUAGUGUAGGGGUAAAAUCCGUGGAUACUACAAAGAACACCAAGAGCGAAGGCGGGUCACUAGAUACCAACUGACACUCAGAGACGAAAGCUAGGGUAGCAAAUCAGAUUAGAGACCUGAGUAGUCCUAGCCGUAAACGUUGCCUGUUAGUUCUGUGGAUUUAUCUGCGGGAUGUAAGCUAACGCGUUAAACAGGCCGCCNNUGCAUGGUUGUCGUCAGCUCGUGUUUUGAAAUGUUCCCUUAAGUGGGGUAACGAGCGCAACCCCUAUCACGUGUUACAAGUGUCACGUGAAACUGCCCCUCACAGAGUUCAGGAAUAUUGCUAACGUAAAGCAACUUUAUAUUUUGCUAUAUGUUACAUGUUUCAUGAUUCGUGAAUUCCGUGAGGGGAGGAAGGAGGGGACGACGUCAAGUCAGCAUGAUGCUUAUAUCCAGGGCUACACACAUCCUACAAUGGGUGGUACAGAGGGUCGCAAUACCGCGAGGUGGAGCCAAUCCUUAAAACCUCUCUCAGUUGGGAUUGCAGGCUGAAACUCGCCUGCAUGAACUUGGAAUUGGUAGUAAUCGCAAAUCAGCAGAUUGCGGUGAAUACGUUCUCGCCUCUUGCACACACUGCCCGUCAAAUCAGCAAAGUUGAGGGCACCUGAAGCUUUACAGAGUUUUGUAGAACCAAGGUGAAUUCAGCGAUGAGGGUUAAGUCGUAACAAGGUAUCCGUACUGGAAGGUGCGGAUGGAUCACCUCCUUU
rnacentral:rRNA from 1 species